rnacentral:piRNA from 1 species
GAUAAUUUGUGAAUGGAAUUCUAUGUGGAC